rnacentral:rRNA from 2 species
AGUCGAGCGAACAGAAGGGAGCUUGCUCCCGGAUGUUAGCGGCGGACGGGUGAGUAACACGUGGGUAACCUGCCUGUAAGACUGGGAUAACUCCGGGAAACCGGAGCUAAUACCGGAUAGUUCCUUGAACCGCAUGGUUCAAGGAUGAAAGACGGUUUCGGCUGUCACUUACAGAUGGACCCGCGGCGCAUUAGCUAGUUGGUGGGGUAAUGGCUCACCAAGGCGACGAUGCGUAGCCGACCUGAGAGGGUGAUCGGCCACACUGGGACUGAGACACGGCCCAGACUCCUACGGGAGGCAGCAGUAGGGAAUCUUCCGCAAUGGACGAAAGUCUGACGGAGCAACGCCGCGUGAGUGAUGAAGGUUUUCGGAUCGUAAAGCUCUGUUGUUAGGGAAGAACAAGUGCGAGAGUAACUGCUCGCACCUUGACGGUACCUAACCAGAAAGCCACGGCUAACUACGUGCCAGCAGCCGCGGUAAUACGUAGGUGGCAAGCGUUGUCCGGAAUUAUUGGGCGUAAAGGGCUCGCAGGCGGUUUCUUAAGUCUGAUGUGAAAGCCCCCGGCUCAACCGGGGAGGGUCAUUGGAAACUGGGAAACUUGAGUGCAGAAGAGGAGAGUGGAAUUCCACGUGUAGCGGUGAAAUGCGUAGAGAUGUGGAGGAACACCAGUGGCGAAGGCGACUCUCUGGUCUGUAACUGACGCUGAGGAGCGAAAGCGUGGGGAGCGAACAGGAUUAGAUACCCUGGUAGUCCACGCCGUAAACGAUGAGUGCUAAGUGUUAGGGGGUUUCCGCCCCUUAGUGCUGCAGCUAACGCAUUAAGCACUCCGCCUGGGGAGUACGGUCGCAAGACUGAAACUCAAAGGAAUUGACGGGGGCCCGCACAAGCGGAGGAGCAUGUGGUUUAAUUCGAAGCAACGCGAAGAACCUUACCAGGUCUUGACAUCCUCUGACAACCCUAGAGAUAGGGCUUUCCCUUCGGGGACAGAAUGACAGAUGCUGCAUGGUUGUCGUCAGCUCGUGUCGUGAGAUGUUGGGUUAAGUCCCGCAACGAGCGCAACCCUUGAUUUUAGUUGCCAGCAUUUAGUUGGGCACUCUAAGGUGACUGCCGGUGACAAACCGGAGGAAGGUGGGGAUGACGUCAAAUCAUCAUGCCCCUUAUGACCUGGGCUACACACGUGCUACAAUGGACAGAACAAAGGGCUGCGAGACCGCAAGGUUUAGCCAAUCCCAUAAAUCUGUUCUCAGUUCGGAUCGCAGUCUGCAACUCGACUGCGUGAAGCUGGAAUCGCUAGUAAUCGCGGAUCAGCAUGCCGCGGUGAAUACGUUCCCGGGCCUUGUACACACCGCCCGUCACACCACGAGAGUUUGUAACACCCGAAGUCGGUGAGGUAACCUUUAUGGAGCCAGCCGCCGAAGGUGGGACAGAUGAUUGGGGUGA